CCCUAAUAAUAUCGGAUGAUUCUACAUUUUUAAAAGUAAAUUCUACCCCUAAUGUGAGGCUUGAAUUCAUGAUCCUGAAAUAAAUAGUGGCAAUGCUCUACCAACUGAGCCAGCCAGGCACCUCUUAAUUAACUGGAACCCUUGGAUACAUAAACAUUUUUUUCUUCUUGGUUACAGCAAUUUUAACAUUUUAUUGGGGUGAUACCUUAAGUACAACAAACAUUCUCCUAAUUUUGAUUGCCUCCUCUCCCCCUAUUCCCCAUAUUGGCACAUAAAAGAUGGUGAUUGGGUGCAAAAAGCUAGUAUACUAAGUGGAAAAGUGGGAUUUCAAUUCAAGUAUGCCUAAUGUCACAGCCGAAGCUUUUCAUCAGUAUGCUGUGUUGCCUUUUUAAGUUAAAUAAAUGCUGCCCCACAUCUAAAACUUUUAUUGACUGUGUUACAUUUAUUGUUCACUCCCUUGACCUUACUCCUCAAUCUCUGUGGGAGGAAUAUACCUCCAUACCAUUUUAAUAUUGAGCUUGGCCUUGUGAUUUGCUUUGGCCUAGUAGUGGUUGGAGUAUGGUCCAUCACCCCUUGACUUUGUGCUUAGUCAUCUGGCUAAGGAGACAUGACAAGGGCAGAGGUAUAGAAUAUAUUUUGUUGUUAGACUUAUCUUUUGCCCUUCUGCCAUUACCAUGAAGUGAACAUGACCCACGGAUCCCGCUGUUCCAGGGAAAAUGAGAGAUAUGUGGAGCAUACCUGGAUCCAUCCCAAAGUCUGGUGCCAAGCCCACGUAGGCCUAACCUAGGACAGUGAAUUUGGGUGGACUUGGCAAAGAAUGAAAAUCAAGUCAGUGAAGAUUCUGUGUUGUGGAGGCAAAAAGAAAAAGAAGAGAAACAUUCAAGUACAGUGGAGAUGCUUAUCGUCAGUGGUGAACCAUUCAGAGCCUCUAUCUGAAGACUCCUUUGGUGGAUAUACUCACUAAUGGCUAUUUGGUAUUCUAGUGUCUGGGCCUCCUGCUCUUCUGACCUUGAGUAUCCUCUUCCAUAGCAAGCAACUCUUUUUCUUUGGAAUAUAGUGCAGCGAAUAGGGUAGUGAGACAUUGUCAAAGAAUUUGGACUUUGUUCCCUUGCUUCUCUGAUCUUGAGCGAGGCAAGUAGUUCCUGCCAACUUCAUAUUGCCUCUGAGGACACAACUUUAAGACCUGCCAGGGAUUUUUCUUGACUUUGUAUCUGUGGCACCUGAAGCUGAGGUGGUCAUAAUCAAGUUCCAAAGUGGUCUGGAGCAUUUGCAAUACAGAACCUGCUUCUCUUGCUACUUGGACCAUAUUCAAAUCCAUGGGAGGAGGCUGGGUCUUUUAAUCCCUUCAGGUGUGCUGCCCGAAAUGCUGGUGUGUCCGCCCAGAUGCAAAAGAGUAAAAAUGUAUGAUCCCUGCAUAUGAAGUUCAAGAACAGGAUGCAGUUAACAAAAAAAUGCCUCACCUGUAGAGCUGAAGCUGAGUCUACCUUUGUUUGGCCCUCUCUUCUCCUCCCCCUGACACAGAGCCAUCUUACUUUCCACCCUACUUCUAAUCUCAUUCCUGUCCUAACUCCAGCCAUGGCCAAUAUUUGCUAGAUGAUUCUUUGAAUCUGGCUAAUGUGGAAUUUUGCAAGGACAAAGAGGAUUUGCUCACUAACCAGUAAGAGAGGCUCUGCUCCAGCCCACUCCUUGAUACUUUAUCAACUGGCAAGAUAUGGACAAGUCAUGAUGAUGACAGACACUAUGCUUGUCUUCUGGGUUGGAAACUUUCUAGAAUUUCUUGUUGCAGGAUUGGAUCUCCUCCUUCUGACCAUUGUUUGAAUCUGUAGACACUGCUCUGGAAAUCUCGACUGUCCUGGCUGAGGCCAGCCUCUGCAUUCUGGUCAGUUUUCCUCAGCACCUAUCCUAGUUAAUGGGUCUUUGCUUCAUCCAGCCUCCUUUUCCAUCACAGUCUGUGGCUGAAUCCAUCUAUGAUUUGUCUUUGUAGGUGAUGUGAUGGAUACUACAAAAAGCUGUAUCCCUGAAAUGUCUAUCUCUGAUAUCUGCAAUUUAUUAUUAUCAGAUUCAGCUCUUUGAGAUAGGGGAUUGUGUCUAUAGCAGGCAUCUAUAAAAAUGGAUAUAUUCCAGGUAUCUUUGUAAGGGUAGAUUAGGCUAGUUUGUAGUAAUGAGUAAACCCAAAUAAAUAUAUAAUAUAUCAACACAAUAGUUUACUUCUUGCUCAUAUAGCAGUUUGUGUGAGUUCAGGUCAGCAAAUGUUCUUCUCCCCACAGUCAUUUAAAGAUCUGGAUUUUCCCCCAUCUUGUGGCCCCUCAAUUCCCUAAGGCCUCAUUGGCAUCUACACCCAGCUGGUGGAAGAGAAGUGUAAGCCUGGAGAGUCAACGCUUUUCUUAAGAGCUUUGGCAUGGAGGUGGUGCCUAGACAUUAUUCUCACAUGUCAUUGGUCAGAAUUCAAUCACAUGGCCACAACUAAUUGUAAGGGAGGUUGGGAAUGUUGUCUAGCCAUGUUACCAGGGGAAAAAAUGAAAGAAUAGAUUUUGAAGGACAGCUGUCUCUGCCAUACCAAAUAAGGAUAACACACUGAUACAUUUUUAGCCUCUGAUACUUUGACACAGUUUUGUUCAUUAAAUUGCUAAUACUUUAGGAAGCAGAUUACAAAAGAAUAGGAUAUAGGCUAGAUUAGGGGAGUGAAAUAGGAGGAAUCAGGGGAAUAUAUUGCCAAUAUAUGGGUCAGUGAUGGGAAAGGUCAGGCCUCUUUCUUUCUUUUUCUCUUUCUUUUUUAAUUAAGUUCUAUGCCUAAUGUGGGGCUCAAACUCAUGACCCCAAGAUCAAGAGUCACAUGCUCCACUGACUGAGCCACAAAGGUCAGGUUUCUUUGAGGUGACAAAUUUUGGGGGACAGGACUCUCAGAAAGCCAGGGCUCAAGAUGAGGGUACUGGGAAGAGGAGAAACAAAGGGAUGGAAACAAAUUAAAGAUAAAAAUGAUGUCUUAGUUUUGUUUCAGGUUAGACUUGAUUCUAAUAUCUAUUCAAAAUGCUUGCCAAGUCAGGGUCUUCAAAAUGUGAAUAAUCUAAUCUUGUGCCUAUUUCUGCCAGUAAUCUGUCUUUUUCAAGGAGUGGGAACAAAAUCCUUCCAAAGCCCUGGUUCUCAGUAUGCUCCAGCAGGUUCCUGCUUCUUGUAAGAUUUUUCAACUUAGUACCACACCAGAAGAAUUAAAAGCCCAUCAAUUUCAUCAUUCUUGAUCUUUGCUCAGGUCACAGUGAAGCAAAAACUUUCUCUUAACUAUCCAGUUGGUGUCAGGCUGCCUACUGGGAGCCUAAUUAUGUAUGAGGCAAAUCUUUUCAUAUAGGUAUUGGGUUCUGUUUCCUGUUUGGCCACUUUAUACAAACCUGACUGACCUCUAGUUCAUUUUCAUCCUCCCCUCCUCCAUAACCCUACAGACUGUGAGAGAUUGACCCACGCUGGUGACUUACCCACACAUCCUUAACCACCUGGGCUGGAGCAUGAGUUGAUUCAGCAGGAAACAGGGAGGUGAAUGGGAGGGUGGAGGUUGUCAAGCAGUGAGCCUCAGCUUUUGUCUGCAGAGUUGUUAAUGGAGCUGAAUCUGAUUUGUAUUUAGCUGAAAGCACUUUGCAAAGGCAGACAGGAGGCAAAGGUCUGGAGAUACAAAGGCAUAGAAACCAUAGCUUUUGCUUUUUAGCUUGUGUCCUGUAUAUUUUCACUGGAUGGCAAAAGAAUAAUUGAAGGUAGAGAGUCGUGGGCAGUCAAUCCAUCCUGGAUGAAUAGAUUUCUAAGGGUGUUAGUGCCCUGUUAUCGGUAGAUGGUUAUCCAUGUAAUGUGAUGUGAGGAGUGCUCCAAAAUAUCCUUUUCUUGCAGUGCCUUACAUCCUAUUAUUAAAGAUUACCUUUUAAGAACUUUCUUAAGCAGGGGUGCCUGGGUGGCUCAGUCGAAGUGUCUGACUUUGGUUCAGGUCAUGAUCUCAUGGUUUGUGAGUUAGAACCCUGCAUCAGGCUU